AUUGAACGCUGGCGGCAUGCCUUACACAUGCAAGUCGAACGGCAGCACGGGAGCAAUCCUGGUGGCGAGUGGCGAACGGGUGAGUAAUAUAUCGGAACGUGCCCAGUCGUGGGGAUAACGUAGCGAAAGCUACGCUAAUACCGCAUACGAUCUAUGGAUGAAAGCGGGGGAUCGCAAGACCUCGCGCGAUUGGAGCGGCCGAUAUCAGAUUAGGUAGUUGGUGAGGUAAAGGCUCACCAAGCCGACGAUCUGUAGCUGGUCUGAGAGGACGACCAGCCACACUGGGACUGAGACACGGCCCAGACUCCUACGGGAGGCAGCAGUGGGGAAUUUUGGACAAUGGGCGCAAGCCUGAUCCAGCAAUGCCGCGUGCAGGAUGAAGGCCUUCGGUUGUAACUGCUUUGUUACGGUAACG
rnacentral:rRNA from 1 species